UGGGGGAUAUUGCACAAUGGGCGAAAGCCUGAUGCAGCGACGCCGCGUGGGGGAUGAAGGCCUUCGGGUUGUAAACUUCUUUUGCUCUGAACAAGGCGCACCAUGGGGUGUGUUGAGUGUAGGGGUUGAUUAGCGCCGGCUAACUACGUGCCAGCAGCCGCGGUAAUACGUAGGGCGCGAGCGUUGUCCGGAAUUAUUGGGCGUAAAGGGCUUGUAGGUGGCUGGUUGCGUCUGUCGUGAAAGCUCAUGGCUUAACUGUGGGUUUGCGGGGGGUACGGGCUGGCUUGAGUGCAGUAGGGGAGGCUGGAAUUCCUGGUGUAGCGGUGGAAUGCGCAGAUAUCAGGAGGAAUACCGGUGGCGAAGGCGGGUCUCUGGGCUGUUACUGACACUGAGGAGCGAAAGCAUGGGGAGCGAAGAGG
rnacentral:rRNA from 1 species